AUUGAACGCUGGCGGCAGGCCUAACACAUGCAAGUCGAACGGUAGCACAGAGAGCUUGCUCUCGGGUGACGAGUGGCGGACGGGUGAGUAAUGUCUGGGAAACUGCCCGAUGGAGGGGGAUAACUACUGGAAACGGUAGCCAAUACCGCAUAACGUCGCAAGACCAAAGUGGGGGACCUUCGGGCCUCACACCAUCGGAUGUGCCCAGAUGGGAUUAGCUAGUUGGUGGGGUAAUGGCUCACCUAGGCGACGAUCCCUAGCUGGUCUGAGAGGAUGACCAGCCACACUGGAACUGAGACACGGUCCAGACUCCUACGGGAGGCAGCAGUGGGGAAUAUUGCACAAUGGGCGCAAGCCUGAUGCAGCCAUGCCGCGUGUAUGAAGAAGGCCUUCGGGUUGUAAAGUACUUUCAGCGGGGAGGAAGGCGGUGAAGUUAAUAACUUCACCGAUUGACGUUACCCGCAGAAGAAGCACCGGCUAACUCCGUGCCAGCAGCCGCUGUAA
rnacentral:rRNA from 1 species